CACAAUACAAUACGAAGGCCGUUCGCGGCUGGACUAUUUUAUUACCCUUGUCUUUUGCGCACUUGUUGUUUCCUGGGCGGGUUCGCUCGCCACCAGGACCACCAAAUAAACCUUUUUUAUGCAGUUGCAAUCAGCGUCAGUAUAACAAGUGUAAAUCAUUUA
rnacentral:misc_RNA from 1 species